rnacentral:rRNA from 1 species
GACGAACGCUGGCGGCGUGCCUAAUACAUGCAAGUAGAACGCUGAAGGGGGAGCUUGCUUCUCUGGAUGAGUUGCGAACGGGUGAGUAACGCGUAGGUAACCUGCCUGGUAGCGGGGGAGAACUAUUGGAAACGAUAGCUAAUACCGCAUAAUAUUAGAUGUUGCAUGACAUUUGCUUAAAAGGUGCAAUUGUAUCACUACCAGAUGGAGCUGCGUUGUAUUAGGUAGUUGGUGGGGUAACGGCUCACCAAGGCGACGAUACAUAGCCGGCCUGGGAGGGGGGUCGGCCAACCUGGGACUGAGACAAGGCCCAGACUCCUUAGGGAGGCAGCCAUAGGGAAUCUUCGGCAAUGGACGGAAGUCUGACCGAGCCACGCCGGGUGAGUGAAGAAGGUUUUCGGAUCGUAAAGCUCUGUUGUAAGAGGAGAACGAGUGUGAGAGUGGAAAGUUCACGCUGUGACGGUAUCUUACCAGAAAGCGACGGCUAACUACGUG